GUUCAUUAGAAUGAGGGCUCCAUUAUUUUGGCCACAGAGCUAUAUCCAGGACUGCUUCAGAGCAAGCCCCAUGUCUGAAUCUUCAGAGGGUAGAAGUCAUCAUCCUGUUUACUCAGGAAACAUGCAAUUUUCAUUGUGAGCUGCCUUCCAGAGUUUAUGGUAGAACUUCACUGACGUUGCUACUGAUGCCAAUGUGGAAUAAAGUAUCUGGAGUCCAUCUUUCACCACCUUCUCCUGAGAUUGUACUGGACCAUGACCACUCUUCUGCCAUUGGCUGCCUCUCUUCUGAUGCCAUUAUUUCAUCACCAGAGAAUACACAUGCAGAGAAUAGCAUUGUGAGUCAGACUAUUCCUAAAACACAGAUUCAGCAAUCAACACACACUCAUCUGGAUAUCUCACUUUUUCCAUUGGGUUUAACUGAUGAAAAAAGUAAUGGAACAAUUGCCCUUGUGGAUGAUUCUGAGGAUCCUGGAGCCAAUGUAUCUAACAUACAGCUUCAGCAAAAAAUUUCAAGUCUGGAGAUUAAACUCAAAGUAUCUGAAGAAGAAAAACAGAGAAUUAAACAGGAUGUGGAAUCAUUGAUGGAAAAGCAUAAUGUCUUAGAAAAAGGCUUUCUAAAAGAAAAAGAGCAAGAGGCCAUUUCUUUUCAAGAUAGAUACAAAGAACUUCAGGAAAAACAUAAACAAGAAUUGGAAGACAUGAGGAAAGCUGGUCACGAAGCCCUCAGCAUUAUUGUGGAUGAAUAUAAGGCACUACUGCAGUCUUCAGUUAAGCAACAAGUAGAAGCUAUUGAAAAACAGUACAUUUCUGCAAUUGAGAAACAGGCACACAAGUGUGAGGAGUUGCUAAAUGCUCAGCAUCAGAGGCUCCUUGAAAUGCUAGAUACAGAGAAGGAACUGUUAAAAGAAAAAAUAAAGGAAGCUUUGAUUCAGCAAUCUCAAGAACAGAAGGAAAUAUUGGAAAAAUGUUUGGAGGAAGAAAGGCAAAGAAAUAAAGAGGCAUUAGUAUCGGCUGCAAAGCUUGAAAAAGAAGCAAUGAAGGACGCAGUUUUAAAAGUCGUAGAAGAAGAAAGAAAAAAUUCGGAAAAAGCCCAUGCUGAAGAAAGGGAAUUAUGGAAGACAGAACAUGCAAAAGAUCAAGAAAAAGUAUCUCAGGAAAUUCAAAAAGCUAUACAAGAACAAAGAAAAAUAAGUCAGGAAACUGUUAAGGCAGCAAUAAUAGAAGAACAGAAACGAAGUGAAAAGGCUGUGGAAGAGGCAGUGAAAAGAACAAGAGAUGAAUUGAUAGAAUAUAUAAAAGAACAGAAAAGGCUCGAUCAAGUCAUCCGCCAAAGAAGCCUGUCCAGUUUGGAACUGUUCCUCUCCUGUGCACAGAAACAGUUAAGUGCUUUAAUAGCUACGGAACCAGUUGACAUUGAAUAAAAAGAACAUGACAAACCCACA
rnacentral:sRNA from 1 species